UACGGAGGAUGCAAGCGUUAUCCGGAAUGAUUGGGCGUAAAGCGUCCGCAGGUGGCAAUGUAAGUCUGCUGUUAAAGAGUCUAGCUCAACUAGAUAAAAGCAGUGGAAACUACAUAGCUAGAGUACGUUCGGGGCAGAGGGAAUUCCUGGUGUAGCGGUGAAAUGCGUAGAGAUCAGGAAGAACACCGGUGGCGAAAGCGCUCUGCUGGACCUGCACUGACACUGAGGGACGAAAGCUAGGGGAGCGAAAGGG
rnacentral:rRNA from 1 species